AAGGUUUUGUGCCCCCCUCCUUUCUGUUCAUUUCUAUCACAGUUUCUCCAGUUGCAAUGUAUUUGUAUUCCUUUGAGAUGAACCAGUGUCACUCCGGAGCUCUCAGUGUGCUGCGUGUGGACUGAAAGACAUCAACAGCCCACAUGUGGGAAGGCCAGCUUCUCUUCCCUUCUUGCCAGCAUGCCUCACUCCUCCAUUUAGUCACUGGACUUGCAGGUGGGACAGAAUUUGGAAACAAGACCUUAUAUUCAAAGUUUGCUGUAACAGGAGACGCAGUGCAUCUGUGGAUCCCUGCACUUGUAUGUGCCUGCCAGGUGUGUUGAGUGAAAUCAACUCAUAUUAACUGUAUGUGUCAACUACUUCUGAAGAAAGACUGUUAAAAAGAAGGAGUUGGAUUGAAAAGUAGAACAGCUGAAAUUCAACUCAUUGUCAUGGCAAUCAAUUUUUGCUCAGCUUCCUGUGUUCUCUGUGCUCUGAAAGAAGCCGUGUCUGCAAGGUGUGACUCCGUUUUCUCAUCUGAGAGAUGAAGACACUAAUCUUUCUGCUCUCCCAGGUGAAGUUGGAUGCUAACCUCAUUGGAUUCUAUGAAAGCCAUAGGUAAUUUGGAGAUGAGAGCAACAGAAAGCUCUAUAAAUAAGAUAAAAUAAACUUCUUGAAGGAAGCAUUGAUUUUA